GAAGUACCAACUGUGCCUAAGCCAGAGACUGUCCCGAAGCCUGAGAUUCCUAUUAUACCAAAACCUGAAGUACCAACUGUGCCAAAGCCCGAGCUACCAUCCAUCCCGAAGCCUGAGAUCCCAACUGUGCCGAAACCUGAGCUUCCAACCAUCCCAAAGCCUGAAAUACCAGUUGUCCCGAAGCCUGAGACUCCUAUUAUGCCAAAACCUGAAGUACCAAUUGUGCCAAAGCCCGAGCUACCAUCCAUCCCGAAGCCUGAGUUACCAACUUUACCAAAGCCUGAAGUACCAACUGCGCCAAACCCUGAGCUACCAACCAUCCAAAAACAUGAGUUACCAACUUUGCCAAAACCUGAAGUACCAACUGUGCCUAAGCCAGAGAUACCAGCUGCCCCAAAGCCUCCAACUUUGCCAAAGCAUGUGAUCCCAGCUGUGCCAAAACCCGAGCUUCCUGCUAUGCCAAAGCCUGAGAUUCCAACAAUGCCAAAACCCGAGUUUCCUCUCUUGAAAAAGUCAGAAAUCCCAGCAGUGACAAACACGAAGGUUCCUCCAACAAUAAAAAAGCCUGAAGUUCCAGCUUUGCCAAAGCUAGAAAUCCCAGAGCUACCAAAGCCAAAACUCCCAGAGCUUCCAAAGCCUAAAAUCCCCGAACUGCCUAAACCAGAAGUUCCAGCUAUGCCAAAGCCUAAAAUCCCCGAACUGCCUAAACUAACUUUUCCUUCACUUUCUCCCCCAUACAAACCCUCUACUCCUUGAGUAAUUACGUUCACUCUAUUAGAAAGUACCCAAACUGAUGCUUUGAGAUUGCUAUCUCAGUCUAUGAAGUUUGCUGCAUGGGCCGUGACAUGGAGAAAUUUUGGAAGAUCAUACUGGAUACUUUCUGCUAGGUGUAGAAUAUAAAUUCAUUUGUCGUAUUUGAUGUGCCAUGUUUCGCCGGUCAUUAUAUUGUAUACGAGUGUUUUAUGUUCUUUUUAUAUAAAGAUAUGAUCUAUUUCACAGUUUGGACUUACUUCGAUUUAGUUCCUUUCGUUGGCCAUCUCUGAUUUCAAUCAUUGUUUGUCUGAUUUUUCCCACUUCUGUUUUUCUCUAUCCUAUUACUACUUUUUUCCAUUCUCAUUUGACAUUUUGAUGUAUUUAAGAACCAAACCCGGAGAUUUAGGAUGUGUUUUGGUAUAACGGAAAUUAAUUUUCAUAAAAAAUAUUUCCUUAGAAAAUAGAUAGUAAUUUUAUUUAUUUUUCUGUGUUAAGUACACAAAUUAAGAAAAAUAACGUCUCAAGAGUAUUCAUAAAUAAUUUAGAUACAAUAAAUAUGAAGCCAUAAACUUCCGAACCAACAAACUUCCGAACCUACAAAUUUCAUAAACUUUCGAAACUGCUAACUUUCGAACCCGUAAACUUUAUAAAUAUUUCUAAACCCGUAAAUUACUUUAAAUAUUUAACUAAAAUUAAUCUAAAGUAACAAAGAGAUCAAGAAAACAAGUUGGUGAAUUAUAGAGACGAAUUUAAUAUGAGUGAAUAUUCUAGAGCUAUGGGUUAGCUAACAAUUCCGUUGAGUUUUUAAUUUAAAUCGUCUAAUUAAUUUAUCUGAUUAAUUGGUUGACAGAGUUAAUAUUGCUCGUAGCCUUCUCCCGAAGUACAACUCGCCUAUUCAAGCUAACCUAAAGCCUAUAUUCCUAUGGAAUUAAAAUUAACAAGAACACAUUUAUAAUUCCUGUAUAGUAAUCAAGCAAACCGAUUAGGCAUAUUCAACCGAUUAGGUAUAUUCCUAUGGAAUUAGAAUUAACAAGAACGCAUUUAUAAUUCCUGUAUAGUAAUCAAGCAAGGCGAUUAGGUAUAUUCCUAUCCUAACCGCAAAUUCGCUCCCCCCUCCCCCAAGAGUUAAGAUUUUGCUCUACUCAAUCUUAUAUGCAAUCUAGAAUUCCUUCUCUCGAGUUCAAUCCUAGAUCUGUAGAUAGUAUUUAAUUGGUGAUCAAGCAAUCAAAUAAUUUAGCGCAAGAUUGAAUAAAUAAACCAAUAUGAUAAAAUAAUAGGAACAAUCUAAGCUUCAAACUACAACGUUCAUGUAGCAUCCAAAACUCUAGAACUAAUAAACUGUGAGAUUAAAUGAAGAGAAGAGAAGAAAAACUAGUUAGGAGCCUCCUCCAAAGCGUGGUGUGUUCCUCCACGUGAAUUCCCCUUCAAAAUAUGUUCCCUAGGUCUAAGAUCUGUCAUAUGUAUGUCCCACCUCUCUAAAAUAGCGUUUUACAUGUAUUUAUACCAAGUAGGGUCGGGUCCAGAGGGAACAUCUGUCAAAAGUAUGCCCUACCUCUCCAAAAUAAUUAUACCAAGUAGGGUCAGGCCCAGAUAAAAACACCUUCUCCCGCGCGAAAUAGGACUCUGGCUCUGUAAGUUUUGUACAGACGCGCCGCGCCAUGCAGCGCGCUAACGGAGUUUAUCGGCAAGCUGUACUUUUCUUGUCUUGCGACAUUUUACACUGCUGCGUCGUGCCUUGCGGCGUCCUAUGCGGCGCUACAGUUUAAUUUUCUCAGAGUGAACAUAUUUCGUCCUCUUUUAACAUCCAGACAUGGUACACCACCUCUGAACACGAUUCCGACUUGAUUCCUUGGGCUUUUACUCAGACUUUAAAGCUCUAAAUCACUUGAAUACAUUCCAUAACGCAUACAUAGAUCGAAAUCACUCCUACAAGGCAUAAAAUACAUAUUUAGUGCAACACACUAGCGAUUAAAGCUCAAACUCAAUUAAAGUACAGUAAAUUAGAGUGUAAUAAGCGUCUAAAAUACACAAUAAUAGCCCAUCAUCAACACCCUACACUUAAAUCAUUGCUCGUCCUCGAGCAAUCAAACAUUACUUUAUAUAGACACAAUCUUUUUUAAACAAUUCUCCUAAAUCAUCACACCAAGAAUAUUUAAAAUAGACUAAGCACAAGAGUGUAACAUAUUCACCUCAAGAUCUGACUCACAAGUAUCACGCAUUAUUCACAACUCACUCACUUACUCUAACAUAGAAGUCACGGAAACUGCCUUUCCUUCGUGAACCAGGUGCUCUCACACAACAAAAGUGAGUAGUUUCACACAAUAAAAUUUAAGAACACUUAGGAACACAAGAUAAAAAGAAUUCACUCACUCUCAGAAAUAACAUUCAUAUGCCACAGAAGAUGCAUCAUAGGCUUAACUGUAGUGUAUUACUCUACUAAUCGAGCUUAUUCAGUCUAGGAUCAAGUAUGACUUUAUUUGGUUGUAAUGUAGGCUGCAGGAUGGGUAGGAUACAUUUAGAUAUAAUAGUGACUAUACAUCCCUAAGCACUUCAAUACAUACACUUUAACAUUGAAAAGCCCACACUUAUGUCGAACCAUAACUCCACAUUCACACCAAUAUAUAUUAACUCUCCACUUCUUUAAGUACAAUUAUAUCAAGAGUCACCACCACCAUCUAGAAUUAUUUUUCGCAACAAUACAACUAAUUUUUUUUCUUUUCAAUUCACGUGGCUCUUACUUUUUCAAAACAAUGCACCUUUCUCCUUUUUCAUUAGUUCAAAUCAAAAGUCAAACCAACCACCCCCACUUUAACUUUUAUAAAGUUCAUAACAAUUCAAAUGCUCAUGAGAGGUGAAAAGGUUCAAAUAGAUGGUAGUUCAAAAAAAUAGGCAAGACGUGUAAUGUGGUUGCCAAAGAAACAGGAUUAUAGACUCAAAUAGGUUAACAAUGAUAAUAAAAAUUAGGCGGGUAUAUAUAUAUGGCUCAACAAAGAAACGCAUAUAUCACUUCCAAGACUGAACAAAACUACUAUUUCGCUUUGCAAACACAUGGGGCAAGUUCUAGACAUCAAAUGCAUUGCACAGAAUAACACAAAACCUUGCACACACAUAACACAUAAAUCACUCAGGAUUGGACACAUCAAGAUACUCUAGUCAAAGAAGUUAAGCAAAGUUAAGAUCAUACAAUUUAAGGUACUUAUAAAAGAGUUAAAAACUGAGCCUAAGCGUUACAACCAAAGUACUCACUAUUCUCAAGGCAUAACAAUUCAAGAGAUAUUGCUUCAAUUCAAUUCACAUCACCAUGGCUUCUCUCCUAAAAAAAAUAAAAAUACCUACAUCCGGUUCAAACAAAACCCUUGGAAACGAACCGCAACACAAAGAAAAACCAAUGGGAAAUUACUACACUACCUACAAAAAAAUCUUUUUGUCAUUUUUCUUUAGACUUAAAUCCCUCAAGAAAACUGCCUAGGAGAUCCAUCGUCGGAAAAAAUUCAAUUUACUUUUUUACGUUUUUCUAAAUACAAAAAAAUUAUUUAAUUAAACUAACACAACUAAAAUAGCAUAGAAAGUCACUUAGACAUUCUCCUCGCCCCACACUUUAAAUUGUGCAAUGUUCUCAAUGCACACUAUAACUAAUAAGAGGGUAAAAGAGACUCCCUGAUAGGCCAAAGGCCGAAACAUUAGUAUCUCACGAGAUACUCAUACUUCUCCCAGGUAUGCUCCUUUGUGCGGGUACCUCACACUUUGUUUUAACCAAAUGCUCUCCUUUACACAUGCCUAUUGGCUAUGACUUCAUGCUCCUACUCCUACAAAAUACAAAAAUAAUAAUACAAAUAUAAUACAAUAAAAAAAUACAAAAGGAAAAAAAUAAAAUUGAGUUGCCUCCCAAGAAGCAUUUGAUUUAACGUCGCGGCACGACUCCAUCACUUUCAUCACUUUUCCUUCCACUUAGAAGAUAUGAAUUGUGCCCCCAAUUUGGCAUCAAUUUUUCUAUUAUGUUCAUGAGGCGGUGGUGUGAAAAUAAAGAAACCAAACAAAAUAUGUCGCAUCUUCCACUACUUGACCCUUAAGUGAGGAAUGUUGUUUUGUUUCCUUGGCAUCACAAACUUCAGAAUGUAAGGGUCUUGUUCUUCAUCUAUACAUCUCUCCAAGGGUUCGAUCUCCAUGUCUUCAUCCAAACAUAAUGUAGAAAAAUGUAUAAAAUGAGGACCAACACGCCCCAACUCUAAAACUGCAUUAUUUUUUACAUCCUCAGUAAUACAUACUCCCUCAACCUCGGCAUCAUCAACAAAAACAUGGUCUAGUGAUUGGUAUCCUCGUUUUAGCUCCUCAAUUUGGCUUAAAAGAAUUUUUUCAGCUUCACAAAACUCAUCAUUAAAUUGUUGGACAUUACAUGCAUCAACCUUUGCACUCAAUUGGGCUUCCAAGUCGCGAAUAAAUUUUGCCAAAGUGAUUGAUCUCUUGUCCCAGUUCAGCUCUUCCUUCUAUAAAGUGUUAUAUCUCAUUCGUAAUUUUCUCACGGAAACCUCCAUAUUCCUCUAAUAAUUUCAUGUGCACAUCAGGAAUGCGAACAUCAUGUUCAACAUCUUACAAUUCGUUACUCCUUUCAAACUCACAAGAAUUAUAAUUAGAAUCAACACAAGAAGGGACUGGAGUAGGAUAACAACACGUAGGACAAUUGUUCCAAUUUCCAUCACAAAUAGUACAAGAUGAAAAUGGUGCACACAACUCAGUAGUAGGAAUAUUUUUACAAUAUUGCCACAAGUGGAGUCCUUUACAAUAUGGACAAGGAUCACAAAAAUAAGAAUAUUUACUAUCCCACCACUUUUCGUUCAAAGAUGUCAUGUAAAAAGAAAUAUAACACUAACUCCACUAAACUAAAAUUAAAAACUGAAAUAGAUAAAAAAGUAAAAAAUUUAAUCUAGUAAAAUAGUUAAUUUCUAAGUCCCCGGCAACGGCACAAAAAAUUUAUUGCUCCCAAACGCACGCGCAAGUAUACGUGGUCGAGAAGUAAUAUAGAAUUGUAAGUCCAGAUAUCGUACCCACAUGGACUUGUGAUUAACUAUCAACUAAAUUAGACCAAAUAAUCCUAAUGUAUAAAUAUUUAACUAAAAUUAAUCUAAAGUAACAAAUAGAUCAAAGAAAAUAAGUUGACGAAUUAUAAAGGCGAAGUUAAUGCGAGUGAAUAUUCUAGAGCUAUGGGUUAGCUAACAAUCCCGUUGAGUUUUUCACUUAAAUCUUCUAACUAAUUUAUCUGGUUUAUUGGUUAACAGGGUUAAUAUUGCUCAUAGUCUUCUCCCGAAGUACAACUCAUCUAUUCAAGCUAACCUAACGCCUAUAUUCCUAUGGAAUUAUAAUUAACAAGAGCACAUUUGUAAUUCCUGUAUAGUAACCAAGCAAGGCGAUUAAGUAUAUUCUUAUCCUAACCGCAAAUCUGCCCCCUUAAGAGUUAAGAUCUUGCUCUACUCAAUCUUAUAUGCAAUCUAGAAUUCCCUCUCCCGAGUUCAAUCCCAGAUUCGUUGAUAGUAUUUAAUUGGUGAUCAAGCAAUCAAAUAAUUAAGCGCAAGAUUGAAUAAAUAAACCAAUAUGAUAAAAUAAUAAGAACAAUCUAAGCUACAAACUAUAACGUUCGUACAACACCCAAAACUUUAGAACUAAUAAACUAUGAGAUUAAAUUAAGAGAAGAGAAGAAAAACUAGUUAGGAGCCUCCUCCAAAGCGUGGUGUGUUCCUCCACGUGAAUUCCCCUUCAAAAUAUGUUCCCUAGGUCUAAGAUCUGUCAUAUGUAUGUCCCACCUCUCUAAAAUAGCGUUUUACAUGUAUUUAUACCAAGUAGGGUCGGGUCCAGAGGGAAACACCUUCUCCCGCCCGAAAUAUGACUCUGUAAAUUUUGUACAGAUGUGGCGCGCCAUGCGGCGCGCUAAUGGAGGUUAUUAGCAAGCUUGACUUUUCUUGUCAGGCAGCAUUUUACACUGCUGCGCUGCGCCUUGCAGCGUCCCAUGCAGUGCGGCAGUGUAAUUUUUUCAAAGUGAACUUAUUUCGUCCUCUUUGAACAUCCGGACUUGGUACACGAUCUCGACUUAAUUCCUUGGAUUUUUACUUAGACUUCAAAGCUCCAAAUCACUUGAAUACAUUCUAUAACACCUACAUAGAUCGAAAUCACUCUUACAAUGCAUAAAAUACAUAUUUAGUGCAAAAUACUAGUGAUUAAAGCUCAAACUCAAUUAAAAUAUAAUAAAUUAAAAUGUAAUAAGCAAUUAAAAUAAACAAUUAUAGCAUAUCAUCACAAGUCAUGAGGCGUUUUCUUUUGCCCGCCUCUGUUUUACUUUCACUAAAUUAGAAAAGCAACAAAUAUAGAAAGGACAUCAAUCACAUUGUGAUUGCAAAUUUAGAGUUAAUAAAAUAACGUGUAAGGUAUUUUUUUAACACAUUUUGCUUCCUGGAUGAUCAUAUUAAUUAGCUGUAGAUCCAACAAUUCUUUAGCUGCAUUGAAAAAUGCGACGCAGAGAUUAAUUUCUUUGCAAGGAAGUUGAAGCAACGGACCAAUACUGUUUUCUAACAAGUGGCAGCUAAUUAGAUGAGAUAAUGACAGGUUUUGACUAUUAUGGCAUAGUAGUAGAUAGUAUAUUGUUAUUUGUUAAUAAACAGAUUUUGAGCUGCCAGAAGAAAAAUUUCAAGAUAAUAUUGGCAGGCAAAUAGAUGAGAAGUUCAACUAACAUAUCCCUUUCCCAACAACCAAAAUAUUGAAGUCCUACUUUUGUUGCAUGAAUGUAAAACCUAUAUAUAGCAACAGCCUUAUAUCCAAUGCCACAUCCAAAUUUCACUGAUUCUAUACACACUCUUCUUUAAGCUGCUAGGAUUUGCAGAAAAAUGGCUCAUCAUUAUCAGCUAUCCUCCCUCUUACUGCUUGCAUUUCUCAAUUUAUGCUUCAUGAAUGGCCACAUAACAUGUGUUACUGCACGCCGCCUUCUGGAGGCGCCCCUCCCUGAUAUUCCUAAACCAGAAUUUCCAAAAGUUCCAACCUUGCCAAAGCCUGAGAUCCCAACUGUGCCGAAGCCUGAGAUUCCAGCCAUACCAAAGCCUGAAAUUCCUGUUAUGCCAAAGCCUGAAGUACCAACUGUGCCGAAGCCUGAGCUGCCAACUGUCCCAAAGCCUGAGUUACCAACUUUACCAAAACCCGAGAUCCCAACUGUGCCAAAGCCCAAGCUUCCAGCUAUGCCAAAGCCUGAGAUCCCAGCAAUGCCAAAACCUGAGUUGACAAACGCACCAAAGCCUGAAAUCCCAAUGGUUCCAAAGCCCGAGAUUCCUACUAUGCCAAAGCCUGAGCUACCAGCUACUCCAAAACCUGAGUUACCAAAUUUCCCGAAGCCUGAGAUUCCAACAGUGCCAAAGCCUGAGAUUCCAGCCGUGCCAAAGCCGGAGAUACCAAAGUUGUCAAAGCCCGAGCUUCCUCGCCUAGAAAAGCCAGAGGUUCCAGCACUGCCAAAGACUGAGCUUCCUCCAGCUAUGACAAAGCCUGAUGUGCCGACUGUGCCAAAGCUCGAGCAACCAGUGGUGCCAAAACCUGAGAUUCCCACUGUGCCAAAACCAGAAAUCCCGGAGCUACCAAAGCCAAAAAUCCCUGAGUUACCUAAGCUAGAAGUUCCAGCUAUCCCAAAACCAAAAACCCCAGAAUUGCCUAAACAAACAAUUCCAACCUCCCCAAGCCUACCAAAGGAGAUACCAUUUCCUUCACUUUCUCCACCAUAUAAACCCGCUACUCCUUGAGUAAUUAUGUAUGGUACUGGUCAUUCUAUUAGAAGGUACAUGAGGUUUUGAGAUGUGCCACCUCAGUCUGUGAAGUUUGCUGCAUGGGUCAUGACAUGGAGUUAAUUUGACAGAACAUAUAUACUGGAUACUUUCUGCUAUGAUUAUUUAAUAUAUAAUUCAUUUGUCGUAUUUGAUCUAAAAUGUAUCUUGUUCCACGAGUCAUUAUGACUCUAUGAGUCUUAUAUGUAACUUUUAUUCCAUGUAUUAAAACUAUGAUUUUUGUGAUUUUCCGGAGUUAUUACUUUGAUAUAUUUCUUAUUCGUAGCCAUAUCUGAUUUUCAUCCUAAUGCACAUUGGAUUCGG
rnacentral:lncRNA from 1 species